rnacentral:rRNA from 1 species
GAUGAACGCUGGCGGCGUGCCUAAUACAUGCAAGUCGAGCGAACGGACGAGAAGCUUGCUUCUCUGAUGUUAGCGGCGGACGGGUGAGUAACACGUGGAUAACCUACCUAUAAGACUGGGAUAACUUCGGGAAACCGGAGCUAAUACCGGAUGAUAUUUUGAACCGCAUGGUUCAAAAGUGAAAGACGGUCUUGCUGUCACUUAUAGAUGGAUCCGCGCUGCAUUAGCUAGUUGGUAAGGUAACGGCUUACCAAGGCAACGAUGCAUAGCCGACCUGAGAGGGUGAUCGGCCACACUAGAACUGAGACACGGUCCAGACUCCUACGGGAGGCAGCAGUAGGGAAUCUUCCGCAAUGGGCGAAAGCCUGACGGGGCAACGCCGCGUGAGUGAUGAAGGUCUUCGGAUCGUGAAACUCUGUUAUUAGGGAAGAACAUAUGUGUAAGUAACUGUGCACAUCUUGACGGUACCUAAUCAGAAAGCCACGGCUAACUACGUG